CCUACGGGUGGCUGCAGUUUCGAAUCAUUCACAAUGGGCGAAAGCCUGAUGGUGCGACGCCGCGUGAGGGAUGAAGGUCUUCGGAUUGUAAACCUCUGUCACUGGGGAGAAAACGCUUUGAGUUAAUAGUUCAAAGCCUGAUUUAACCCGGAGAGGAAGCAGUGGCUUACUCUGUGCCAGCAGCCGCGGUAGUACAGAGACUGCAAGCGUUAUUCGGAUUCGCUGGGCGGGUUGGGUGCGCAGGCUGUGAAAUCCCGAGGCUUAACCUCGGAACUGCGUCUGAAACUACUCGACUAGAGUACUGGAGAGGGAAACGGAAUUCACGGUGUAGCAGUGAAAUGCGUAGAUAUCGUGAGGAACACCAGAGGCGAAGGCGGUUUCCUGGACAGUUACUGACGCUCAGGCACGAAAGCAUGGGGAGCAAAAGGGAUUAGAUACCCCUGUAGUC
rnacentral:rRNA from 1 species